UGCAAGUCAAUUUAGUUUCAUAUCAUUCGUUCGCCUGCUAUCGUUCAACCAUCAGCCACAGAGGACUGUGAUUUAAUUACUCCGAACAUUAUCGAAACGAAAUGAAGACCUGCACCUACUUGCUAGCCGUCUUGGUGAUGGUGUUCACCAUCUGUGAGGCAAGGCGUUUAGGCCAAGUCAGGGAAGCAAGAAUAUGUACAUGUGUGGUGAGAUGCUGCCCAAACACUUUCGAGGUCACCCCACAGCGGGCUAGACGGGACGUCUCCAACGGAUUCCCUCUUGAUGCCCCUUACAUACGACACAAGCGCUGCUGUGGGUGCAUCGACUGCCACAGACCGCACUCGUAGGCCUGAUGCCAUGGUGGUUUAGUUGUGUGCCUGGUUUGGUUCAAGGAGCGGUCAUAUCAGGGACCAUCCCCCGUGCGUAGGACUGCAACUCUAUCUAAUGGCGGCGUCGUAUAUGGCUGCGACGAGACAUUUUCAUCAUUAUAAGACUUUUAGGGCCUCUAGUCACGCGUAUGUUUGGGAUACGAUUAAAAUGAUACAAGUUGACACUGUUUAAUUGUUUCCCCAACGUGAGUACGAAUCCGUGGCCGUGAUGGAAACGCAACAGGUACUUGUUCAGUCAUUUCAGAAUGAUUCAAUCAUCGAAAAUGUUUGAUAUAAAUUAGCCUUUGUGAUAAUACAUUUGUUGAACGAAUAAACCACAUGACUUUUACUUUGCCUUUGUUUCAAGAUUGUACUAAAGAGCGGUCUUUAUUAGAAAACCAAGGACUUGUACCGUAAGGUAUCGUUUCUAUUCUAAAAGGACUCGAAGUGAACAUUUCCCAGUUGAUCAAAACCUAGUUGUCCUUGGUAAGACGCCAAAGUUCGCUGCAAUCAAGAUGAGGCUUCUUUUUAACGUACUUUCCAGUUUCUAUGGCCAUUCUUCGCACAUAGAUCAUAUCUGACUGUCAAGUGUCAGUCAUCUAAAUGGGGUGCCCGUAAUCGUGAUCCACAUGCAGAAUGAGAAGACUAAAAAAAAUAUGCGUCGGAUAAUUUGACUUUAAUUCGUGUAUAGUGUGUUGCUAAAGUAGGCCAACCAUCCUGAUGUGUGAAUAGACCUUCAAUUCAAGCGACCACAAAAGUAUGUGAAUGCAUUCUUCCUGUAGAUACCAAUGACCUCAUCGUGUCAUUUUCAAAUCAAAUGCGCUAUAAUUCCCAUAUAUCAGACCCAUGUAAGGACUGGUACUGUUCAGCCUGCUUUACUGACAGUACUUUCAUUUUGACAAUAAGUUUGUAAAGGUGAGACCAGCCAUUCAUAAAAACUUUAAAUUUGCUCAAUAUCGUAAUAGGCAUAUCGCAAAAUCUGUAACGUGUUGUCAGAACUCUUUAUAGAAAUAUUUGACUAUCAUGAAGACGGGAUUAAUCACCUGCAGGCGCGCUGCUACCAUUUUGUGACAUGGGAUAAUAACACCACGGUUAUUUCGUCAAUGACGUGUUGGAUAUAAUUUCGGUUGAUGACUUCAAGACUUGUCAGUCAACCCUGACUGUUCAAGAUGGCGAACCUGAGUGUGUCUCGAGGUUCAAAUGAACCUCCUUUCGAAAUUACAUUGCUAACCAAAGAGGAUAUAUCACGUGACCGGAAGGCAAGAGAACGUGAUGGCGGCUGUUUUAACAAAGAUGGCGGCUGCUGUAGGAGACGGCCGUGUCCCAAAGCUUUCAACUAUUUCAAGGGAUACAAAGCUGUGAUAUUAUUCUCAUCCUUCUGCUGCUAUUUUAUACUCUGUGGAAUAACGUUGACUGUCGGGGUAUAUUUCAACGAAUGGAAGGAUGAUUUUGAGGCAGGAAGUGCUCUGACGUCAUGGCUUGGUUCCGUCCACAUCGGCGUGUUGCACGUUGUUGCUCCGCUGGUAGGGAUCCUGACAGACCGAUUCGGCUUCCGGCCCAUGGUGAUGAUAGGGAGCGUGAUACUGACAGCCAGCUUGGUCGCCACAUCUUUCGCCCAAAAUAUCUAUGCUGUCCUCGUCUCUUUCUCAAUAUUCGCAGCCGUAGGUGGUGGCUUUGUAUUCGUCCCAGCUUCAACAAUAGUCUCCUUGUAUUACGAAGAAGGUCGAGCAUUCUCAAACGGCUUCUCCACCUGCGGAUGCGGGUUCGGCCAGUUCAUCAUGCCUUUCAUCCUUCACGCUGGAAUAGACGCAUUUAACUGGCGAGGCUCGAUGUGGAUUUCCGCUGGCCUGGCAUUGCAGAUCUGUGUCCUUGGGGCGCUCAUGAGGGAACCCAAAAUCUGGCAGAAGAUAAAGAAGGAAAAGGCACGUAGGGUCAAAGAAGGGAACAAACUGGAACAGUGGGGAUUCCAUAUUUAUAAAAGUUUCGGUUUCGUUCUUCUUUUGCUGCAAUUAACAUUAGUAGCAGCUGGACUAUCCAUAGUCUACGUCCAUAUAAGCGCCAUCACGAUACAGGUUGGCAGGGUAACAGCACAUGAGGCGACUCUACCGCUCUCUCUGCUGGGGUUUUCGACAAUCGUUGGUCGACUUUCCGCAGGACUGAUUAGUCAGCACAGAAGGGUGGACACUUUCAUAUUUUACAUCUCCUGCUUCAUUGUAGCAGGGGUUGUUACUAUCCUAGUUCCUUUUAUCCAAUAUUAUGGAUUUAUAUGUUUCUGGGCAGUAGUAUUCGGGCUAAUGACAGCGCCGUCGGCGGCAUUAGUACAAAUCAUGGCGCUAUAUUUUGUGGAUGUAGCGGACUUGAAUGCAGCCUUUUCACACGCUGCUGUGUUCACAGCACUUGGAUACAUUAUAGGAGCACCAGUGGCAGGUUGGUUGUUCGACUUCACCAAAAGCUACAAUGGGUCCUUCUACCUCGGCGGAAGUAUGCUGGUUGUGAGCGGUCUGACUCUAAUCUGGCCCUACGUCAGACACCGGCUAGAGAAACGAACAGUGGCAAAGGUUGACCUGGGGGACGGCGUGGAGGCUGAGAGAUGGGGAACCCGCCCAAGUAUCGCCAGCGGAGUCUUGUUUGGCAGUGCCUUCUUCGAGAGCUAUGAGCCAGGCUCGAAAGAGAGGAGUUCUCCGUCGCUGUGAACCAGUCAGUUGUGUGACAAGGGGUGAGGUCGUCAAAUCUUAGAUAUAUAAUUAUCAUACCAUCAAGAGUAUCAAGAAAACUCUCCCUCGUUGUUAACGAGACGUGUGCACUGCCGUCAGAGGAUAGAAUAGAUGAUUGAAUCAAAAACGACUUGGAAAAUCCCGGAAGAACAUGCCAGUGAUUUGAAGAAGCUUUCGACAAAAAGUGAUUCGAAAGUGUGUUAUUAAACCCAGCAUUAAGACAUACAUUUUGGUAGCAGAGCUUUAUUUGAAAGACUCUGGUAGUCGUAACAAAAGGAACAAUGUGUUGAGACCAUCUAGAGUGUUUUCACGUGACGUCAUCACCGGCCAUGUUUGAGGGACAGACAAAAGAAAGCAAGCCAACUGACCAUGACACCAUUUUUGUUCAGUUAUUGUUCUGUCCUCCAACAUGGCUGACCGUGAAAACGCUCUUUUGUAAAUCAGACGAUUAAGCACACUCGUAGAAGUAAAGGUUUUAUAGUUUCUGAAAAACCAUGAAAUUAAGCUGGCGUAUGUUGUCAAGUUUAAGGCCAGUUUCUAUAACAGCGGCGGAAUUGGGAAAGCGUGAAUCUUGCACAGGCGUUGGCUCGUCGGUUAAUGAAUGACUCGGCAACUGACCAAAAAGGCAAGGAGACCGCCACCACGUAAAGCGAUGAAAAACAUGUAAUGAAAUGAGACUACAACCGCGAAACAUCAAAUUAACCUCUCGACGAAAUUGUCGUCCACUGAGGCAAUAAAAAAG